AAAAUGUUCUCACCUCCCAGACGUGAGGGGAAUUUCUACUCUGGAUGUCAGCCAGCGUCAGUGGCUCUCCGCUAUCAGCCCUCCAGCGCUUCUCAGGUCAGCCCCCAUAUCAGUCCAAAGACUCUGCACAACAUUUUGUUAAAUGACACCAGUCCUCCCACUGGCUGCAGCAUUGUAGCAUAUAGACACACACGCACACAAACACACUGAUCUUAUAACCAAAUGCCUGGGCAUGCAAAUACACUCUGCACAGGUGGUUAUGUUUCUGUGAGGAGGCUUUCCCAACCACUUUACUCAGUAAUACUGAAAAAGAAAAAAGGCUAAAUCUCUUUCUUGGCUGCAGCUGCAUCCUACCUUAUAUUCUAUUAACACCUUGCAUGUAAGAGAAAUCAAUUUAACUUCUAAUUUUCUGCAAGACAGCCAUCAAGUGUUUGCCAGAAUGUCAAACUAUACUCCUCAAAGCUCCAACGUGAAUCUAGUAAGAUGCCCUCCUGUUUCUAAUUCAUCAGCACUUCGUUUAAUCAGAGAAAACAUUCAUUAAACUCUGAGCUGAUGAAUGGAAUAUUUUCUCUCUGACUCCUCAGUGGUGAGCCAAAGGAUGAUUAAUAUAUCUAAUGAAAGAUGAAUUCAUUUGAAUGUGUUUUUCUUCUUUUUAUCAAUAAUUAAAUCUCGCUGACUCAGUUUAAUGAAUGAUUGCCAUGUAUGACAUGUCAUCGAUAGUUUGCUUGCCAAGUCUUUUGUGACAAACAAGUAUAACAGAGACGUUCGCAGGAAAUUAAAUGCAUUCCAAACGUCAUUGGACAAAUCAAAAUCACAGCGAAUACUUUAAUUAGAUCAAAGUAAUGAGCUAAAGUGGAUUGCAUUAUACAGUUUUUCCUCCCUGCUUGUUGAAUGAAGGGCUUUUCAGGUUAAUAUGUUAAUGUAAUCAUGGUUUUUAUAUAUUUCAUCUCUAAACACACUGUUCCUUUAUAAAGACAGAUAGAAACAUAGUGAAGAUAAAGUAACGUAUGUUCACAUUCAGCAGGAGUUUUCCCUUCCUGAAGAAAUCUCCCUGUGAGUCACCUUUAGCGACACCCAGUUUCUGCUCGCUGCACUCGUCAUGAUUGGUUCCUCAGGCUGUUCUUGUCUCCUGUUGGCAAGUCUGAGCAAGCGACAUGUGAUUUAGGAGUCACAAAAACGUUUCAAAUAAGUGAGGAACAGAGGGAGAUAAACAUCGGCAUGACUGUGAUUUCUGAGUAAGUUCCAACUAGUCUGGGAAGGAUCCGUCUUAUCGGGAUGAUUUGAGUUGAAGUGUGAAAAAAGGGGGUUACCAUGAGGAAAUAUUCUGCAAGAAAACAUGAUAAUAAUCUUAAUUUCACAUCAUGAUUCUCACCUUCAUCCUGCAGCAUUUGGAUAAACGCUCUGGAUGUUGAAAGAAUUGGUACAAAUGAAGCGUCAUGGCACAAUCAUGGUUAAUGGUGACACGAAUGGGUCGGCUGAUUUAAAUUGCAGGUUUGACCGUAAAUGCUGGACUUUAGUCGCUCCGGUGAGGAACAUAUUUAAACACAAAGAGCAGAGCUGUUUGACCUGUUUAUUACAGAUACUUUACAACAGUUUCUUUGAUUUGAUUGAUGGGAUGUCGGUUUGCAGAACAAGGAAGUAAUCAAUGUGGUGAGGCCAGAGCAAUCAAGUAAUGCUGCCGUGCAAAUUGUUGCCACGAUGGGGCUUGCCAAAAUGAAUGCAUACAAAAGAUAUGUCAAAGCGAACACACGCCAAAUAUGUUGGUUAAAGGGUUAAUGUGGCGUAAAUAUAAGUUAUGGUCAAACACUCUGUAACUCCGAGUUAGACACCCCCUUGAGAGAUGAAUGUUUUCGACUGCUUGCUUCUCUAGUUAUACCAACUUCAGCAACGACCGCACGACAGCAAUACACAGCAGUCUAUGUCUCGACAAGUCGAUCACCAAGUGCAGCGGAUCAUUUCCAUGAAGUAAUGGUUAUCAUUUUAAUCAUUUUGCACUGCAGACACAGUAGUUCUUCUGCCUUAGCAUCUCGGUCUGAUUGCAUUUCCAUGAAGUAAUGAUCAUAAAUGUUCUUCCUUGAGCUGCGAAACUCCGCUGCACUUGGUGAUCGACUCAUCAGGGCUUCCCCCACAAACAAGCGGCUGCUGGAGUAAAGUGGGUGAGUUGUGUUUAGUCUCUUUGCUAAAGAAAUCAGGCAGUGCCAAAAAGAUGUUUGGCUGGGACCUUGUUGUUGAUGAAGUUACCCGAGAUUUCUACUGGUAACGAGUUGUCUCUUUAGCCACAUGGGCUAACCAUAUAACUUCCUAGUUCCCACCAACACGCCCCUAAACACACCUGACUGAUAUCUGAACCCUACUGAGUCCACCUCUAGUUUAAAAUGUGUUUAUUUUCUUAAUUAUCAAUCUGAACACAACGUAAAGUUAGGCCAGGAUAAAACUGGCUGUGAGGAACUGAAGUUACUGGGAGUUUGAAACUCGCAUGUCCUGAAUAAUUAACUAAGCAAACACCGGUCGGUAAACACAGCUGACAAACAAACCAACCAUUAUAAAAGGACAACAAACUGCCUCUAAAAACAUCAAGCAUUUGCAUUUAUUUUGAGAUAAGCCAUAAUAUGUGCAGACUGCAUGUUUACUAGCACACCCUGUAAUCCUGUGUUUAACUUUUCUAACCUAUAGUUUCGCCAUUUAAUCCAGUUUUUAAUUUUGUAAAUCCAACAUAUGGACAAGACUCGAGUCAGCCGCACAUAUACUUUUCAAACAGUGCUACACUCAGGUUCAUCAACAAGGGGGCUGAACUGAAGGACCUUUCUCUCUCUGAUCGUUUCAGAGAAAGUAAUGAACUGCAGGUUAUCAGACACAAGGGAUAGAGAGCAAUCCUUUCACUGACUGUUGACGGCAAUCUCAAACUAAUGUAAUUGCUAAAUUUUCAAACUUAUUAAACGUGUGUUACACUUCAGUCAGCAGAGAUAGAUGAUGAGUACACACGCCUGUUGUACGCAGGUCAUUUGAUUGUGUAUUAUUGGUUGAAAGUUCUUGCUGCUUGAACUCAGCAUUGAGAUAUGGUGAUAGAAGGAUAAGAUAUAGUCUUGACUGAACUCCCAUCAAAGCUUCAUCGCUACAAGAGAGUAAGAUAAGAUAAAGCCUUAUUUAUCCCAAGGUAGAGAAGUUUGUGCAGUUGUAUAAUCAGCUGAUCAGAGAAAACCUGGACACUUUGGGAACAAUUUUCUCAAAGCAGUGAAAAGCAUUCAGAUGGAUUUCUUGCUGUGUCUUUAAAAGUCUUGUCUUUCUUACCUACUUUGUUUCUGUUGUGGCGCACCAACCGUAAACACUCAUCCUGACUUCGAUCUCUGACUCAUGGCUCUGUUUUGAUUUAGAUUUACCUCCUCUGCAGA